AAGUCGUUCAGAAGUUACACGAUCACUAACAGAUGCACCAAAGAAUCAUAUAUAUAUAUAUAUAUAUAUUUCAUAUGUGCAU